rnacentral:hammerhead_ribozyme from 1 species
AUUCAGCUGACGAGUCCCAAAUAGGAGGAAAGGUGCGUCCUGGAU